rnacentral:rRNA from 1 species
GUCUUAAUUGGGCGUUAAGUUGCAGGGUAUAGACCCGAAACCCGGUGAUCUAGCCAUGGGCAGGUUGAAGGUUGGGUAACACUAACUGGAGGACCGAACCGACUAAUGUUGAAAAAUUAGCGGAUGACCUGUGGCUGGGGGUGAAAGGCCAAUCAAACCGGGAGAUAGCUGGUUCUCCCCGAAAGCUAUUUAGGUAGCGCCUCGUGAAUUCAUCUCCGGGGGUAGAGCACUGUUUCGGCUAGGGGGCCAUCCCGGCUUACCAACCCGAUGCAAACUGCGAAUACCGGAGAAUGUUAUCACGGGAGACACACGGCGGGUGCUAACGUCCGUCGUGAAGAGGGAAACAACCCAGACCGCCAGCUAAGGUCCCAAAGUCAUGGUUAAGUGGGAAACGAUGUGGGAAGGCCCAGACAGCCAGGAUGUUGGCUUAGAAGCAGCCAUCAUUUAAAGAAAGCGUAAUAGCUCACUGGUCGAGUCGGCCUGCGCGGAAGAUGUAACGGGGCUAAACCAUGCACCGAAGCUGCGGCAGCGACACUGUGUGUUGUUGGGUAGGGGAGCGUUCUGUAAGCCUGUGAAGGUGUGUCGUGAGGCAUGCUGGAGGUAUCAGAAGUGCGAAUGCUGACAUAAGUAACGAUAAAGCGGGUGAAAAGCCCGCUCGCCGGAAGACCAAGGGUUCCUGUCCAACGUUAAUCGGGGCAGGGUGAGUCGACCCCUAAGGCGAGGCCGAAAGGCGUAGUCGAUGGGAAACGGGUUAAUAUUCCCGUACUUGGUGUUACUGCGAAGGGGGGACGGAGAAGGCUAUGUUGGCCGGGCGACGGUUGUCCCGGUUUAAGCGUGUAGGUGUGUGUUCCAGGUAAAUCCGGUUCACUUUAACACUGAGGCGUGACGACGAGGCACUACGGUGCUGAAGCAACAAAUGCCCUGCUUCCAGGAAAAGCCUCUAAGCAUCAGGUAACAUCAAAUCGUACCCCAAACCGACACAGGUGGUCAGGUAGAGAAUACCAAGGCGCUUGAGAGAACUCGGGUGAAGGAACUAGGCAAAAUGGUGCCGUAACUUCGGGAGAAGGCACGCUGACACGUAGGUGAAGUGAUUUACUCAUGGAGCUGAAGUCAGUCGAAGAUACCAGCUGGCUGCAACUGUUUAUUAAAAACACAGCACUGUGCAAACACGAAAGUGGACGUAUACGGUGUGACGCCUGCCCGGUGCCGGAAGGUUAAUUGAUGGGGUCAGCGCAAGCGAAGCUCCUGAUCGAAGCCCCGGUAAACGGCGGCCGUAACUAUAACGGUCCUAAGGUAGCGAAAUUCCUUGUCGGGUAAGUUCCGACCUGCACGAAUGGCGUAAUGAUGGCCAGGCUGUCUCCACCCGAGACUCAGUGAAAUUGAACUCGCUGUGAAGAUGCAGUGUACCCGCGGCAAGACGGAAAGACCCCGUGAACCUUUACUAUAGCUUGACACUGAACAUUGAGCCUUGAUGUGUAGGAUAGGUG